GACGAACGCUGGCGGCGUGCUUAACACAUGCAAGUCGAACGGUGAAGCGCUUUCCUUUUUGGUUGGUGUGGAUGAGUGGCGAACGGGUGAGUAACACGUGAGUAACCUGCCCCCUUCUUCUGGAUAACCGCAUGAAAGUGUGGCUAAUACGGGAUAUUCUGCGCCUGCUGCAUGGUGGGUGUGGGAAAGAUUGUGCCUUUGGGUGUUUUCGGUGGGGGAUGGGCUCGCGGCCUAUCAGCUUGUUGGUGGGGUGAUGGCCUACCAAGGCGGUGACGGGUAGCCGGCCUGAGAGGGUGGACGGUCACACUGGGACUGAGACACGGCCCAGACGCCUACGGGAGGCAGCAGUGGGGAAUAUUGCACAAUGGGCGCAAGCCUGAUGCAGCGACGCCGCGUGAGGGAUGGAGGCCUUCGGGGUGUGAACCUCUUUCGCCAGUGAAGCAGGCCUGCUCCGUGUGGGUGGGUUGACGGUAGCUGGAGAAGAAGCGCCGGCUAACUACGUG
rnacentral:rRNA from 1 species